UUAAUUUAAGAAAAGGGCUUGAACUCGGGUCAUGCUGGGACCAAGCACUGGGGCUCCACCUUGCUCAUGCUGACCUUCACCUGUCUCACAGCCAUCUCCAAAACAGCUAAUCCAGGGGAAAGUUCAACCACCACUUCUAAGAUGGAUGAGUCACUCCUUGUUAAAACUGGAGAGCGGGCCAAGACAGCCUUCUUGACCCCUGAGCUUUGUGGAUCUUUGAAUCUAGUUCCUAAUUUGGCAUCUUCAGUUACAGUAGAAGUGGAACCGAGGUGUAGGUGUCUGCAAAAAGGACGAAAGUUAUUGGUUGAAGUCAUAGCUGAUCUCCACCAUACCACUCGGCAAGAAGUUCUCAGAAGGCAAUUUCCAUCCAGAGAGAAAACCUACCUACUUGCCAUCAGAGAAGAAAAUAUCUGUAGAUGUAAGGGAUCCAUGGAAUCUAUGAAAAUAAGAGUUCAACCAGUUUUGCUUGCACAAACAGCCUGGUGCACACAGUAGAAAUGGCUAACUGUUUUUGCUGCUGAGACAACAGGCCUGUAACUGCUUGGUGAAGUGGAUAUUCUUGGAGAUGCUGGACCUGACUUGAGGGUCAUCUACCAGGAAACUAGUGGGAUACAGGAUUGGACAAAAGUUUACAGAGUUCAUGCAGUUUGGAAUGACACAUCUGGGUCUUAAUGGAUCACCAUAUUCUGACAAAAACUUUCUAGUGAAGCACAUUUUUGACUCAGCUGAGUUUCCUAAAGUUUGGCAGGCAACCCCAUGCUACCUCCACUGGGCCUGUAUAUGGAAGACCAGCUGAGAAUGGAGUGCAUGGAGUGCUAGCUGUGCAAAUUUCUUACAAUUGCUUGGCUGAUGAUGGGGAUGUUGUAGUUUGUUCCUUUGUUUUAAUGGGGUAUUAAAGAGUUGGGGUAUUGCUGUCCUGGAGCCUGCCAAGGCCUUGGAUGUUAUAUCUAAUUAUUAGCUAUAACUACUGUAAAUUGGAGGUAAUUCCUGAUAAGGCCAAAACAACUGCAAAGAGGAUCUGUAGAUCCCUUAUCUGGGUUUUGACAGGAAACCCUGCAGAAAUCUGAGGGAUGAUCUCAGAACUGCUCUCAUAUUUGUGACAUUUUAGGGUGCAUCUACACAUGCGUUAAUGUGCAUUAAAUCUAGUACCUCCAUUGUGAGAUACUAUGAAAAGGCGCAUUAGCCAAUAUUAAUGUACAUUAACUAAAGAGAGCUUUUUUAGUGAUGCUUGAAUGUGCAUUAAAAUAGGCUAAUGUGCAUUAAAGUGUACAUGUAGACGCACCCUUAGUGAUGAGCAAGGCUGCCGCCAGACAGACAAACUGGCCAGUGAGACAGCCAUUUCCAGCUGACUAGGCUGAAUGUUGCCAGCUAGAUGGAUUCAUGCACCAGCCUCUUUUACUUGCUGACAAGGCAGAAGUGCUUGGAGAUGGCCUGACGUUGCACUUUUUGUUUUAGUGCUACUUUGACAACUGAAGAAUUAAGGUGAUGCAUGUUACAUUUUAGGCUAUAUCAUAAACUAGGAAAUGGCC
rnacentral:lncRNA from 1 species